rnacentral:rRNA from 2 species
GAUGACGCUGGCGGCGUGCCUAAUACAUGCAAGUCGAACGAGUUCUCGUUGAUGAUCGGUGCUUGCACCGAGAUUCAACAUGGAACGAGUGGCGGACGGGUGAGUAACACGUGGGUAACCUGCCCUUAAGUGGGGGAUAACAUUUGGAAACAGAUGCUAAUACCGCAUAGAUCCAAGAACCGCAUGGUUCUUGGCUGAAAGAUGGCGUAAGCUAUCGCUUUUGGAUGGACCCGCGGCGUAUUAGCUAGUUGGUGAGGUAAUGGCUCACCAAGGCGAUGAUACGUAGCCGAACUGAGAGGUUGAUCGGCCACAUUGGGACUGAGACACGGCCCAAACUCCUACGGGAGGCAGCAGUAGGGAAUCUUCCACAAUGGACGCAAGUCUGAUGGAGCAACGCCGCGUGAGUGAAGAAGGCUUUCGGGUCGUAAAACUCUGUUGUUGGAGAAGAAUGGUCGGCAGAGUAACUGUUGUCGGCGUGACGGUAUCCAACCAGAAAGCCACGGCUAACUACGUGCCAGCAGCCGCGGUAAUACGUAGGUGGCAAGCGUUAUCCGGAUUUAUUGGGCGUAAAGCGAGCGCAGGCGGUUUUUUAAGUCUGAUGUGAAAGCCCUCGGCUUAACCGAGGAAGCGCAUCGGAAACUGGGAAACUUGAGUGCAGAAGAGGACAGUGGAACUCCAUGUGUAGCGGUGAAAUGCGUAGAUAUAUGGAAGAACACCAGUGGCGAAGGCGGCUGUCUGGUCUGUAACUGACGCUGAGGCUCGAAAGCAUGGGUAGCGAACAGGAUUAGAUACCCUGGUAGUCCAUGCCGUAAACGAUGAAUGCUAGGUGUUGGAGGGUUUCCGCCCUUCAGUGCCGCAGCUAACGCAUUAAGCAUUCCGCCUGGGGAGUACGACCGCAAGGUUGAAACUCAAAGGAAUUGACGGGGGCCCGCACAAGCGGUGGAGCAUGUGGUUUAAUUCGAAGCAACGCGAAGAACCUUACCAGGUCUUGACAUCUUUUGAUCACCUGAGAGAUCAGGUUUCCCCUUCGGGGGCAAAAUGACAGGUGGUGCAUGGUUGUCGUCAGCUCGUGUCGUGAGAUGUUGGGUUAAGUCCCGCAACGAGCGCAACCCUUAUGACUAGUUGCCAGCAUUUAGUUGGGCACUCUAGUAAGACUGCCGGUGACAAACCGGAGGAAGGUGGGGAUGACGUCAAAUCAUCAUGCCCCUUAUGACCUGGGCUACACACGUGCUACAAUGGAUGGUACAACGAGUUGCGAGACCGCGAGGUCAAGCUAAUCUCUUAAAGCCAUUCUCAGUUCGGACUGUAGGCUGCAACUCGCCUACACGAAGUCGGAAUCGCUAGUAAUCGCGGAUCAGCACGCCGCGGUGAAUACGUUCCCGGGCCUUGUACACACCGCCCGUCACACCAUGAGAGUUUGUAACACCCGAAGCCGGUGGCGUAACCCUUUUAGGGAGCGAGCCGUCUAAGGUGGGACAAAUGAUUAGGGG